rnacentral:lncRNA from 1 species
UUCAACUGUUUGGUAACAACACACUGCUUUUCAAAACUGCUGUAAUAGUUUACAGUCCUCCGGCAGUUUAUGAUGGUUUUCAUCACUUCAAAACCUUGCCAGCACUUGGUACUUUCAGACUUUAAUUUUAUUCAUUUUGUGGGUGUGAAAUGGUAACACAAAUAUAAGUUAAUUUGCAUUUCUCCUGGUGUUAAUGACAUUAAGCAUCUUUUCCUAUUUUUAUAUCCCAUUCAGGUUUUCUAUUUUGUGGUGCCUGCUUUUUUUUCCCCCCUCAUUUUUCUCUUGGGCUUUUUGUUUUGUGAGAAUUCCUGUAACUGUAGUAUCUAAUCUCAUUAGGAAUUAUUCUAUCUCCUACAACUUCUAAGCGCAGUAACAGUGCAAGUCUGUGAUAAUCCUUCACAGGAAAAAAGAAAAAAAAAAGGGCACUGGAAGGUUUUGCUUUGCUGUUUCGUAUUAUUAAUUGGGAUAGUUUCAACUCCCACAAAGAGAAAAGCAAGGCAUGAGCACUCACCCAUGCUUAUUGACUUCCUAGGCUCUAAGUGCAGUGGGUAUUAACUGAGCGGAUUGACUACAAGAUUGCAGCCUUCUCUCGCCUUGCACUUCAUCACUCCAAACGAUGUCAUUCCCAAUGCAGGACUGACAGGCACUCAUGUCCAGCCUCGGCUCUAUAUCCCUAAUCCAUUAGUAUUGGCUCGAGGUCAGCUUUUUGAAGACAAGAUCAAUUCUAAUACAGUUACAUUGACUUCUUUGUCUAUCAGGGAGUAGAUAGAAAGUUGAGAGGGAUCAAUAAAUUCCAAACAACAAAUCAGAAAAUACAUAGCAUAUAGAAGCCAGUUAGCAUGCAUGGAUUUCUCUGUGCUAGUCAUUGAUUAAAAUAUAGGUAGUCCAGAAAUAAUGAGUUUGGAUCCAUACCUGAAAGCCAAAAUGGAAAUCAACUGUUCAAGCUACGUCUUUAGCCGAAUAGAAAAUAGGAAAUGACACAAUCCUUGGCCUUGGGAUCAAAAUCUUACAUUUUCUGGGUCAGUGUUACCAUUUCAGACCCAGUUUGUGUCUUUUUAUAAAGUGUUUUUCUCAGGCUAGUCUAAUUUCCUUGUACAGGGGAGUAUAUGGUCCUUUGUACAUAUUUUCCAGACUUCACAAAUUAUUGCCCUCUACCUGUCAACUCCACCAUCAUCAUAAAUUUCCUUCCUAUCUCUUUUCUGCCUAUAAAAACCAUCUUCAACCCAAGGCCCUGCCCAAAUCUGCAUCUUCUAUGAAGUCUUUCUUCAACUUCAUUGCUCUGAAUAGACACUCAAGCUGUCAAAAUCAUGUAGCACUUCUUAUCAUUAGCACUAAUUUGGAGCACGUCUGCCUUAUUAUUCCUGCCUUGCAUGGUUAGUUUUCUAUCUUUGUUUGUUACCCACCAAAAUAAGGACAUCUGAAAGUCUGGGACUGUGUCUGAGGUAUUGAUGUACAUCUGACACACAUAGAAUAUUGCCUGAAUAAAACUACAUGCCUAACUAAAACUCAUUCAUUCAUAUAGACAUGAGUUACUCUCAUACCUCUCAGUGACAACAUGUUAAUUAAUGUUGACCAAUCUCCUCCACUAAGAUCCUGCUCUCCUUUUAACCUGAGGAGACAAGCCUGGCAAUUUCUAUAUGUCUGUUCUGUUCUUCUUCCACCCAUCCAGACUGUAGUUUUAUCUUUUAAGGUGAGUAUUCUCUAUUAAACAAAGAGUAAUCAAGCUAAAAUAGCCUAUGUAGUCCUGCUGAAAUGUCUGACCUAACAAGCACCCUAUUUCUUCCUAAAGUCUAGUGACACAUCCUGGUAUCUGAGUUUCUUAAAUAAGAAACGCUAGUUUCUUAUUUCUAAACCUCAUUACAGAUAUCCUAAACCCUUCUAAAGGUAAGACAAUCAAGUUCUUGUAGAAUCUUGAGCUGUCUCUGAGUCUGACAACUUAUGGAGAUGAUCAUUAUUGUAAUAGUAAACAACUUCUGUAAAAAAAAAGCUUCAUAUAAUGCUUACUAUACACUAGGUACAAUUCCUAGUGCUUUAAAAAUAUUAACUCAUUGAAUUUUCAUUAAGAACUCCAUUAGGCAGGUACUAGUACUGUGCUGAAUAUUCCCAUCUCCCCCAUUCUUCACCUGUUUCAGCGCCCCCUGGAGCCUGACCUCAUCAACCAGUCUUCUUGGUUCUCUGACUCAUCAUUGAGUUCAGCCUGUAGGAGACACCAACAGUAUAUAGAGGAGAGAAAAGUCAAUAUUUUACUUCAUUAGCUGCCUUUCUGCCAGCUGCACUUUGACAAUACAUACUUUUCUCUGCCAAAGUCCUCAAUUCCAUAGCUAGCCCACUCCUACAGUUACAACUCUCCUGAGAUUCUAUUCACUACCCUCUCCCCUUGCCUCUUUAGACCUAGGCAGGCUAAGAUGUUUUUAUUAUCAAAGUACUUUACUGUUCGUUAUUAGUUUUUCUUAAGCCUGCUCACGAGUUUGUGAAUAUUCCUUUUACUAAAAUCUCUUACAUUGCCCCUUUUUAGUAUACUGUCUGACUGUCUGAACCCCAAUCAUUACAAGACAGGAAACUGAGGCACAACAAUAUUAAGUGCCUUGCUUAAGAUUAUACAACUAGUGAGUCACAGAGUAGCGUUCAGAUCCUGGCUGUGUGGUUCCACAAUAUGUUCUCUUAACAGUACACUAUGUUGUCUCUGACUCUGUGUGUCUCCAAAUGUAGCCAAACAACUGUCUUUCAACUCUGAGAUAGGCCUCCGAUUUCUCCUUGCCAGCCGAAGUCAAGAGUAAAGUAACGGCUUCUUCCUUUGCCAGGAGAGAAAGAUCAUCAGAUCUAUUUUAGAAAGAAACGUGGGCAGAGUUAACCAAGAAAAAGGAAAGUUUCCCUUUGGGCAGUGGUUUUCUUAAAAUCUUCUGGGUUCUACCGCUACCUGUUUUGCAUUUAAACAGGAGAGAUAGGAACAAAUUUAAGAAUAAUUAAGCAGAGAACAGAAUUAAAAACAAGAGACAAGUGAGUAAUAGCUAGAGCUGAAAGUCAAAAUCCCAACUGGACACGUCAAAGGCUCAACCAGUCCUUAGUUCAAACUAAAACCAAUAGUGAGCUUGAAUUUUAAUCUAGAAAGGGACUUUGGAAAGGAAACUCCCAUAAAAUUACUCAAGGUGGCUGAUGAGACAUUUCAUUGAAAUCCUACAAUAAAUCCCUCAAAUUCUACAGUUAAAUUACAAGGAACCACUGCAAAUCAGUUGCAAUGAUUCUUCCUGCAAUUCACCGACAAGACAAUAUUGUUUUAAUGCCACUAUGUAUUAAAUGCCUACUCUAGGUGAAGAACUUUAUCCACUUGCAUAUCAUUGUUAAAUUUCUCACAGCUUUGAAAAGUAUUUAAAAUUAGCCCCAUUUAUCAGGUAGGCAGUGGAGGAUCUACUUCUUAAAUUAUUUUCUUAAAAUCAAAAUAUGAGCACAGAACCAGGAUUCAAAAAUCAAGAAUGACCUUAAAUAUUGUGUGAUGGGUGUGUGUGUUAAUUAUUAUUAUACUCACAGAUGUAGAAGAACACAAUCAUUCCAAAUCUGAUGCCUUGGGAAAGAUGAAAACCACCGUGAAUUCUACUUAAGCUUUUUCCCAGUUCUACAGUACACGUGUCAUUUUGCCUGACUUUUGAGAUUAUGCAAAUGCAAUAAAAUGAAUUUUUUAUAGUUGCCUGAAAACAACCACAAGCGAGGUAAUAUUCAGCGUCACAGAUUUCCUCUUAUUCGCAUUACAACCUUUCAAGGUCAGCAUUCCUAUCUCAAAUUUUCAGAGAAGGAAAUAGUCACAGCAAGAUUAAGAACAAGACAGAUGGUAACAGAAGUCUAAAAGCCUGCGACAUCUUGAGUAAAAAGAAGAAAUGUAACUCCAAAACACCUCAGAAGACAGAAGAUUGGAAUGUAAUGUUUUUGUAUCCUGAAGGAAGAAGAAAUGGAAGUUGAGGUGUUCUUGAAGGUUUUACUAAAGUAGCAAUCAGCUGAGUGAAGUAAUCAUAUCUCCCUGAAGGCCAUAAACACAGCCACCUGCGCCUCUUCUGUUUUGUGUUCCUCUUUUUAACUCCAGUGUCACAUGGAGAGGGGAUACAGAGCCUGAAAAGUUGCCUGCAUGUUCCAAUCAGCCAAGAAGAUGUCAUAGAGCAUUUUUUCUAUAGCCUGUUUAAGAAGGGCUGAGAAAAGGACAGGAGAAGAAACUGGGUGCAGAAUUGGUUUUUCCCUCUUCUUCCUACCUGAGCCAUCCAGACAGCACAGCUGCCCCACAGGACAGAGGCUGCUGCCACAGAGCCUGUUCUUUGGAUUCUGGAAGACACGGUGUAGAAUGUAAUGCUAGGGGUUUGCAAGAAUAUUACUGACAUCUUCCCAAAUGAAACCUUCGCCCUUUAUUUUAAUCAUUGUUGCCUCUGUAUCUGAAGCAUCUAGAAGAAUGAACGGUACGGAGCAGACACUCAAGCAGUAUUGGCUGAAUAAAUAAUUGACUGACGCCUUAUCAAAUCAAUACCUACUAACUUUAGAAAUUUUGGAAAAUACAUGUGUGCAUGCACAUGUGCAAUAUUACCAUCCUGAUUAUCACCGUUAACAUUUCAGCGAAAUAUUUUUGGAAGAUUCCAUACUAACGUUGUUGAAUCUCCUAAAGAGAUCAUGAUGAUUGAAUCCUGGAAAAGUUAAUCAAGGCAGUCAAGAGGGCCAGGGACAGGCAAAAAACUGAUUUGAAAGAGAAGCUGAGAGGAAACUUUAGGAUGAAUCUUUUCAAAUAAGUUCAAGCAGGCCAAUAGAAUCAUUUACUCCAGAAAAUCUCACUAAGGUGCCUUCAGGAACACAGUAUGAAGGAAAAGAAGAUUGUGUCUGACUGUAUGAAAAAAAAAAAGCUAUAGGUCUUGAAGUUUCUGUUUAUGGCAGAUAAUAUAUAGCACUUGACCUCUCUCACCCUGUAAUCUAUGAAUCUCUAUUAUUUCCCUUGAUAUGUACCAGCCUCAAAUUUGAUUCUACUUUGACUGGCAGUGAGAGUUGUUCACACUCCAAUAUUUACAGAAAACAUCAAUUUCCAGAAGCCUAGAUAUUUAUGAAUUAUAUUAGAAUUAUUUGUGUGAUAUACAGCAAAUGUAUUGCUGACCUAGUUAGAAUUCUUUCAAAAGUGCUUUGUUAGUGCAUUUGAGAAGCUUAAUGUGCAGGGUGGCCUGUUUAGAGUAGGUUCCAAUUAAUUCAUCAUGUCCAGCUAUAGUGACAGCUACUUUAAGUUUUGGGCCAAGAACAAGUUUAUUCAAUCCCAAAUCUGUACAUCCAUUCUGCCUAGAAGGUAACCUCAUUGCACGUCACCUAGCAGUGGCCACAACCCCCUGGGCUGAGCAGAUUUCUUCCCCUUCUCCAACAACCUCCCUUUGCUCAGCACAUGUCUGUAUUCUCAUUCCUGAUCAUCGCUGAUCUACUCGAAACCUUAUUUCAAAGUCCCUAAUCCUGGCCAGGAGUGAUGGCUUAUGCCUGUAAUCCCAGCAUUUUGGGAGGCCGAGGUGAACAGAUCACUUGAGGCCAGGAGUUCGAGACCAGCCUGGCCAACAUGGUGAAAACCCGUCUCUACUAAAAAUACAAAAAUUAGCCAGGCAUUAUGGUACAUACCUGUAAUCCCAGCUACUUGAGAGGUUGAGGCAGGUGAAUUGCUUGAACCCGAGAAGUGGAGGUUACGGUGAGCAGAGAUCAUGCCACUGCACUCUAGCCUGGGCAACAGAGCAAAACUCUGUCUCAAAAAACAAACAAACAAAAACAAAAACAAAACAACCUGAUAUUUUCUUUGUUCAUUAUGAUCCCAUCCAUUUUCCAAUUAGGGAGUUUCCAAAAUUAUAACUUCUCAAAUUAUUGUGCUUUGACUAACCAGUAAAUAAAUCUCUAAGCAAAAGAAUGGCUUAAGAAAAUAUGUGUGCUAGGACAGGAAAGUGCCUGGCCACAGAGCCAAAGCUCAAAAAUAUUAAAACAAUAAAGAAGAAAAAUAGAAGAUCAAAUCCACAUCAGUAAUUCAUUCAACAAAUAUUAAUUGAAGGCUUACUAUAUGCCAGAUACUUGGGUCAGGGCUGAUGGUGAGCAAAACAGAUGGAAUCCCUGCUCUGAGGAAUCUCACAGUCUACGGUGGACAGAAAUAUCAGUCAAGUAACUGAAAGAGAAAUGUAAAAUGGCAAAAUGUACAACAGUUUAGAUGUGUUACUAGUAUGACAGUAUUUGAUUAUAAGAUGUGAUAUAGCCAUAAAAUAUUGUUAAAGGAGUAGCAUGUAUUAAGGCUAUGGGAAGAGGGGAGCAGCAUUGUGUGUUUGAACAAAGGAAGGAAGGCUGGUGUGGUUGGAACUGAGAGAGAUUAGCUUAGAGAGGAAAAUAGGGACCAGACAAUUCUGGGGCUUUUAAGACAUGUUCAACUACAUGCACAGGGAAGCGGAUUUACAUAGGAUCUCAAACUGACAUUUAGUCACAUGAUUUGCCUGCACAAUUUGUCCAUACAUAGUAUUGAUACUUCUUUUAUGUUAGAGAUGCUGAUGAAAGGAAAUGAUUGAAUGGAAAUGGGGUGAGCUAGUCUGUGUAUUGAACUUCAACACAAGGUCCUGAUAUGAGUGCUUCAAACCCAAUACCUUGCAUUCUUCUUCCCACCUGGUUUCUUUUUAUUUUUAAAUUUCAACUUUUAUUUUAGAUACAGCAGGCCCACGUGCAGGCUCAUUGCAUGGGUAUAUUGUGUGAUGCUGAGGUAUAGUGUACUCAUCCUAUCACUCAGUUAAUGAGUAUAAUACCCAUUAGGUAGUUUAGCAAUACAAUCCCACCUCCCUUCUGCCCCCUCAGUAGUCCCCAGUGUCUAUUGUUCCAAUAGUUAUGUCCAUGUGUGCUCAGUAUUUAGCCCCCACUUACAAGUGAGAACAUGCAGUGCUUGGUUUUCUGUUCUUGCGUUAAUUCAGUUAGGAUAAUGCCCUCCAGCUGCAUCCAUGUUGCCGCAAAGGACAUGAUCUCAUUCUUUUAUGGCUGCAUAGUAUUCCACGGUGUAUAUGUACCACAUUUUCUUUAAAAAAAAAAAUAGUUUUCUGUGAGUGAGUUUAGCAUGCAGUGAUGCACUGCAUCAUCUUUUGUUUGUGGUUGCAACAACGUGUCGCUGUACGCUGUCCUGUGGCGUUAGCUAGAGGUGGCCCCUUGAAAUUACUUAUGUCUCCCAGUUGAUAAUCACAGUAGAAUUAGCUGGAGACAUUCACAGAGAUGUCCUGUCACAUAUCUGAUUUUCAGGAGGUCUAGAGUUACUGUGGAGGAAAACAGAUUUGAAACUUGGUUUUGACUCAUGUCUGGAAAAGUAUAGAAAAAAUGCAAUUGGCAGAAUUCAGAUUUUAAAUGUGGCAAGAGCCUGAGGGUAUUAGAAUUCAAAAUUUUGGAGAGAGAGGGUGCUAUAGUAAAGCACAAAUACUGCAUCUUUUAGAGGCCCAUCCACUCUGCUUGAGACUCACACUUCAAAGAGGGGUUUGUGGAGGGUAUUCUCCAUUCGACAGAAAGGUGGAGCUGGAGAAACGUGAGAAAUAAAGCAGAUUAAGUCAAGGGGUCUUAAAAGUUAGGAAAGUAGGCUGGGCACAGUGGCUCAAGCCUGUAAUCCAGUGCUUUGAGAGCCCAAGGCAGGGGAAUUGCAAGGUCAGGAGUUCGAGACCAGUCUGACCAACAUGGUGAAACCCCAUCUCUACUAAAAAUACAAAAAUUAGCUGGGCGUGGUGGUGCGCACCUGUAAUCCCAGCCACUCAGGAGGCUGAGGCAGGAGAAUCACUUGGACACUGGAGGCAGAUGUUGCAGUGAGCUGAGAUUGUACCACUGCACUCCAGCCUGGGCAACAGAGUGAGACUCUGUCUCAAAAAAGAAAAAAAAAAAGAGCAAAAGAGUUAGGAAAGUAAUGAGGUUGGCCCAGAAGGACUAGAGAGACCUCAGCAGACAGAUCUCUGCAGACAGACAGACUCCCACAGCAAGGGAGGAAUGCCAGUGGGAGGGGAAGAAGGAGCAGGACUGAAGGCACAGACUAGAGCUUGGAGGACAAGACAAGGAAACCUGUCCUGUGUUCCUCUGGGUACUCCAAGGUACAUGAUCUGCUAUGUGAGCAUAGAAGCUGUUGAUCUAGUAUAUGCAGGAAAAAGUGGACAGUUGUCAUCCUCAGAACUUACCUGCUAGUGGGAUUUAUGGGACAACCCAGUUCUGUUGUGCUAGACUAUCUAGCUCUAUGCUUGAAACAUACAUAGAUAAUAUUGUUCAUGUGUGCGUAUAUGUGUGUGCAUGUACGUGUGUGUGUGUGCAUGGUCAGUUGUACCAGCAAGAGUAAUAUAAUGGUUCAAAGAUCCUCAUCUUGGAAAAUGCCUCAUGCUAUGAAGUUGAAUACUGCAUAUCACCAGAUAUCAAAGUCCCAUAAGAGGGUAAAAUCACCUUUAAAUUGAGAACUGAAGUUAUAUUUGUGGGCCCUCUUCUAUCUCCUUGUGAGACAUCCUUGUGCUAAUCUGGAUGCGAAACUUGCGUGAUAGGAGAAGACACGCUGAACCGGAAGGUCUGUGCAAUGUGGAAGGAGGUGUGCUUUUCAUGUCUCUUAUACUCAUUGAACCAUGAGUGCAAAAUGGCUUCACCUGUGCCACAGUACUUGGCGGGAUCAUGAUGUCAAUUAGGUUUCAUGAGACUCUGUAAAGCAAAUUUGUUUAUUUGCUCACUGAGUUAUCCAAAGACAAAAGGAGGACUGUGCCUCCAGCACAAUAAUUAAUUAUAAAGUCAUCACACAUAUUUCAUUAAUGUUGGCUGGCUUCUCAGAAGUCCCUCUCAGAGGGCAGGGGCCAUGUGUAAGUAUAACUCUAUUUAGCAUCUACUAAAAAGACACUUUGAUUGGAAUCUGUGUGAUCAUAAACUUCUUUACUAGGUUGUGUGUUCCUUGAAGGAAAGGAUUUUAUCUUUCAUUUAUUCAAUAAAUAUUUAUAACUUUAUAAAGUAGUAAAAAAUACCAAAAAUAUCUUCAUGCAGCUUAUGUUCUGUUUUUUAAAAUUUAAUUAUUUUUAAUUGGUAAAUAAUAAUUAUAUAUAUUUAUGGUGUGCGAUUUGUUAUAUGUAUAUAAUUGCAGAAUGAUUAAAUCAAGCAAUUAAAAUAUUCAUCACCUCACAUAUUUAUCAUUUCUUUGUGGUAAGAAUGUUUAAACCUAGAAGGACCCUAUAAAAUUGAACUUUAUACUCUUUCACCAGCAUCUCCCCUUUACCUAUUCACCUGUCCCCAGCUCCCCAGCCUGUGAUAAUGACCACUCCACUCGUUACUUCUACUGAGUUUGACUAUUUUAGAUUCCACAUAUAAGUAAGAUGAUGCAGUAUUUGUCUUUGUCUUAUUUCAUUUAAUGUAAUGUCCUCUAGAUUCAUCCAUGUUGUCACAAUGACAGAAUUUCCCUCAUUUUUAAGGUUGAAUUGUAUUCCAUUUGUGUAUAUAUACCACAUUUUCUUUUUUUAUUCAUCUUUUUCCUGAACACUUGGGUUGCUUCCAUAUCUGUGCUAUUGUGAAUAAUGAUGCGAUAAACAUGAGAGUUCACGUAUCUCCUAGACACAGCAAUUUCAAUUCCUUUGGUUUUCUACCCAGAAGUGGGAUUGCUGAAUCACAUGGUAAUUCCAUUUUUAAUUUUCUGAGGAGCUUUCAUACUAUGGCUCUGUAAUAACUAUACUAAUUUAUAUUCCCACCAAUAGUGUCCAAGGACUCCCUUUUCUCCACAUCUUGCCAAUACUUAUCUUUCAUCAUCUUGGUAAUAGCUCUUCUAACAGGGAAUAUUGUGGUUUCAAUUUGCAUUUCCCUGAUAAUUAGUAAUGUUGAGCCUUUUUUCACGUAUCUGUUGGUGAUAUGUAUGUCCCUUUUUUUGAAAUAUCUAUUCAGGUCUUUUCACCCACUUUUUUAAUCAGGUCAUUUGGGGGUUUUUUGCUAUUAAAUUCCAUAUAGAUUUGGAUAUUGAUUCCUAAUCAGAUGCAUUGUUUGCAAAUAUUUUCUCACAUGCUGUGGGUUGUCUUUUCACUCUGUUGUUUCCUUUUCAGAAACUUUUAAAUAUGAUGUAAUCAUCCCAUUUGUCUAUUUCUGCCUUUAUGGCCUGCACUUUUGGGGUAGUAUCCAAUAAUUCAUUGCUCAGACCAAUAUCAUGGAGCUUUCCUCUUUGUUUUCUUCUAGUAGUUUUAUAGUUUCAGGUCUUAUACAUCGAGUAUUUCUCUAACACUUCUAUAAUGCUGACUGUAUUCCAAGCGCAGGUCAAAGCUCUUGACAUAUAUUAACAACUUAAAGCAACAACCCAAUGAGGCAGGUACUAGCCUAUUUCUAUCUUAUAUACUGAAGGAGACUAAAGCAGAAGCAGUUUAAGUGUUGUCCAAGGGUGCACAACUAGUAAGUGGUGGUGCUGGAAUUUGUACCCUGGCAGUUUGGCUUCAAAGUCUACCUGUGUUUUCACUUUAUUAUCUCUUUCCUUUUAAAUUACCUUUUUAUUACUAGUGCCUAGCAUAGCUCUCUGCAAAGAAUAAAUGAGUGCUAAUUGAAUAAGCCAAUGAAACAAUGACAUUUAUCAUGCUAAUGGUGAUGAUGAUGAAAAGAUACUGAUAAUAAUGAUUUAUAUUAAUUGAGUUGCCACCCAUACUAUGUUUCAUAAUUUGUAAGCACCAUAUCAUGAGAUCUUCUUUUUUUUUUAAUUACUAUACUUUAAGUUCUGGGAUACAUGUGCAGAACGUGCAGGUUUGUUACAUAGGUAUACAUGUGCCUUGGUGGUUUGCUGCACCCACCAACCCGUCAUCUAGGUUUUAAGCCCCGCAUGUAUUAGGUAUUUGUCCUAAUUCUCUCCCUCCCCUUGCCCCCAACCCCGCAACAGGUGCUGGUGUGUGAUGUUCCCCUCCCUGUGUCCAUACGUUCUCAUUGUUCAACUUCCACUUAUGAGUGAGAACAUGCAGUGUUUGGUUUUCUGUUCCUUUGUUAGUUUGCUGAGAAUGAUGGUUUCCAGCUUCAUCUAUGUCCCUGCAGAGGACAUGAACUCAUUCUUUUUUAUGGCUGCAUGGAAUUCUAUAGUGUAUAUGUGCCACAUUUUCUUCAUCCAGUCUAUCAUUGAUGGGCAUUUGGGUUGGUUCCAAGUCUUUGCGAUUGUGAAUAGUGCUGCAAUAAACAUACGUGUGUAUAUGUCUUUAAAGGAGAACGAUUUAUAA